AGAGUUUGAUCCUGGCUCAGGACGAACGCUGGCGGCGUGCCUAAUACUGCAAGUCGAGCGGACAGAUGGGAGCUUGCUCCCUGAUGUUAGCGGCGGACGGGUGAGUAACACGUGGGUAACCUGCCUGUAAGACUGGGAUAACUCCGGGAAACCGGGGCUAAUACCGGAUGCUUGUUUGAACCGCAUGGUUCAAACAUAAAAGGUGGCUUCGGCUACCACUUACAGAUGGACCCGCGGCGCAUUAGCUAGUUGGUGAGGUAACGGCUCACCAAGGCAACGAUGCGUAGCCGACCUGAGAGGGUGAUCGGCCACACUGGGACUGAGACACGGCCCAGACUCCUACGGGAGGCAGCAGUAGGGAAUCUUCCGCAAUGGACGAAAGUCUGACGGAGCAACGCCGCGUGAGUGAUGAAGGUUUUCGGAUCGUAAAGCUCUGUUGUUAGGGAAGAACAAGUACCGUUCGAAUAGGGCGGUACCUUGACGGUACCUAACCAGAAAGCCACGGCUAACUACGUGCCAGCAGCCGCGGUAAUACGUAGGUGGCAAGCGUUGUCCGGAAUUAUUGGGCGUAAAGGGCUCGCAGGCGGUUCCUUAAGUCUGAUGUGAAAGCCCCCGGCUCAACCGGGGAGGGUCAUUGGAAACUGGGGAACUUGAGUGCAGAAGAGGAGAGUGGAAUUCCACGUGUAGCGGUGAAAUGCGUAGAGAUGUGGAGGAACACCAGUGGCGAAGGCGACUCUCUGGUCUGUAACGACG
rnacentral:rRNA from 1 species